ensembl:lncRNA
CUAAAGUACAAUAUCUUUGGAGAUUUGUUUUUUGGACAAUUUUUGUGAUUUUAUCAGACUUGUUGCUGAUUAAGAACAGGUAUAAACUGUUCUUGUCAUGGAUAUUGGAUUAAAAAUGGGUAUUUUGGAUCAGUUCAGACCAGUUUUCAGUUGGCCAAGUUUUACGGGCUCAAAAAUGCUGGAAUAUAUAUCAAUGACAGAGUCCUCAGUAGAUAUGAAUCAGAACACAUGCUGGGUUGUUUACACUUCUUGCUGGAAUUCAGCCACCCUCAGUCUGUGUUUUACCAGCACAGUAUGUGCUUAGUUCAAAUCCCUGUACUGUUCCUACAGAAUCAUUCAUAGCACAUGCAAAUCACUGUAGCAUUUCCAUUGUUUUAUUAUAAUUUAGUAUUUUGAGUAACAGUAACCAUUCCUGAUCCUCUGUGUUGGCUGGUUUCUUUCUAUAACCCCGUUAACUCUGCUGGGUUUUACCCCGGUCCUGUUUGCUCUGCCACUUUUGUCCCAGUUUCAGUUACAUUUACACAGAUCUUUGUCAUAAUGUGUUUUUUGUAAUGUAGUUUGGGGCUGUGGGGUGCUUGUCUCGGGCAGCUAUCGUUAUUUUAAGGUUUUUGGAUCUGGGACAAAACUUCUUGUUACAGAUACAGAAUCGAAGCCUCCUACGGUGACUACGUACAUUCCUUCAAAACCUCACGAAAAUAAGGCCUCCUUGCUGUGCGUGGCCACAGACAUGUAUCCAAAUGUGGUCAAAUUCAUAUGGGAGAAAAAGGACGGAAACGACUGGAAAAAUGUGCCAUCAAAUGAAAUGAGGACCCUGCAGCAGGAGGAGGAAAGUAGGGUCUCCAGCAUCAUGAUCAUCGACAAUGAGAAGGCCGAGCGGGAUACCUACUCCUGUAAGGUGCAACACGAGAAGGAUCCUAAUCCCAGCAGAGGAAAAAGAGUGCCAAAAAAAAGUGAUCUCAUUACCCCCAAUGACCCCAAUGUCCCCAAACCUUCCUGUGUGCCCAAGCUGAGUACACCUCCGAGCAACACAUCAGAUGGUGAGCAUGCAUUGCCUUUAUGGCCAGAGAUUUGACUGAACUACACUAAAUCUGCAUUUAAGAAUGUACUCUGACCAGUACAUGAUAUUAAUAUGAAUAUCCAUAGCUUAUGAUUUCAUAGAAAAUCACUAGAAGACCAAACGGCACUUUGAGUCGGCUGGAUUACUGUGCUCUGUUAAAAAAGAAGGACUCCCAGAACAGCGUAUUUAUAAUGAUUUCAAUGUCAAAUACACUUUAUUAAAAUGUAAUACGUAUGAUUUUUUAAAAUUGUUUUAAAUGAAAAUGAAAAGGCCUGCAUUUAAGGGCUUUCUUUUCCAUCUGGGCUCGCAGAGAUCCGUUCCUUCAAGAACCCGAAUGAGCUGACCAACCUGAACAUGGUGACAUUCUCCUACUCCGUGAUGAUCCUCAAGAGCAUGAUGUACUUCGGCGUGGUGUCCAUGAUCAUGUACAAGAGGUCGGGCAGGUCGCUCUGCUGAAGAAAGGAGCCCGGCUCUUCACUCAUCAUCUCCUCGCACCUUAUUGUCAACGCAGGAGAACAGCACAUGCAUGGAGAACAUGUAAUAGCGAACACAGUGUUUUAUAGUAGCUCAUAAUUCUAAACCUCUGAUUGUACUUAUAGAUUUUUACAUUUUUUAUUGUUGCUAAAAGUAAACUGAGUGUUUUCAUGUCUGUGAAGUGAUAUACUGUACGUUUCACGAAAGUAUAUAAUUAUUAUUAUAACUGUAUAAUUCUUAUAAUUAUAUCAGCAGUUCUUAUAAUUAAGACAGUCAUCGUUAUAAUGAACACUGAUUUUUGUUUCCUUCGACUCUCACCGUUUUUGUACAUGAAUUCAUAUUAAUAUGAUAUUACGGCUGUAAUAAGGAGAAAAUUUCCAGAAGAAAAUAUUGUUUGGAUUUCUAUAGCGCUGUGAUUUAAUUGUCCUUUGUUGUUUGUACAUUAUUAUACCUGUCGUGUACCUUUCAGACUCCAUCAGUGGAAAUGUCUGUUUUAAAAGAAAUUAAAAGCGGUGGUUGCAAAACAGUGUAUUGAUGUGCU